AUUGAACGCUGGCGGCAGGCCUAACAUAUGCAAGUCGAGCGGAUGAAGGGAGCUUGCUCCUGGAUUCAGCGGCGGACGGGUGAGUAAUGCCUAGGAAUCUGCCUGGUAGUGGGGGAUAACGUCCGGAAACGGGCGCUAAUACCGCAUACGUCCUGAGGGAGAAAGUGGGGGAUCUUCGGACCUCACGCUAUCAGAUGAGCCUAGGUCGGAUUAGCUAGUUGGUGGGGUAAAGGCCUACCAAGGCGACGAUCCGUAACUGGUCUGAGAGGAUGAUCAGUCACACUGGAACUGAGACACGGUCCAGACUCCUACGGGGGGCAGCAGUGGGGAAUAUUGGACAAUGGGCGAAAGCCUGAUCCAGCCAUGCCGCGUGUGUGAAGAAGGUCUUCGGAUUGUAAAGCACUUUAAGUUGGGAGGAAGGGCAGUAAGUUAAUACCUUGCUGUUUUGACGUUACCAACAGAAUAAGCACCGGCUAACUUCGUG
rnacentral:rRNA from 1 species